GAUGAAGAACGUAGCGAAAUGCGAUAAGUAAUGUGAAUUGCAGAAUUCAGUGAAUCAUCGAAUCUUUGAACGCACAUUGCGCCCCCUGGUAUUCCGGGGGGCAUGCCUGUUCGAGCGUCAUUUCACCACUCAAGCCUCGCUUGGUAUUGGGCAACGCGGUCCGCCGAGUGCCUCAAAUCGACCGGCUGGGUCUUCUGUCCCCUAAGCGUUGUGGAAACUAUUCGCUAAAGGGUGUUCGGGAGGCUACGCCGUAAAACAACCCCAUUUCUAAGGUUGACCUCGGAUCAGGUAGGGAUACCCGCUGAACUUAAGCAUAUCAAUAAGCGGAGGA
rnacentral:misc_RNA from 1 species